AGGAUGCUCAGUACGGCGAGUGAGCGGCAAGAGCUCAACUUUGGAAUCGCUCCGGCGAGUUGUAGUCUGGAGGUGGCCACCACGAGGUGUUCUAGCAGCAGGCAAGUCCUUUGGAACAAGGCGCCAGCGAGGGUGACAGCCCCGUACCUGCUUUUGCUAGUGCUUCCUGUGGCCCACCGACGAGUCGAGUUGUUUGGGAAUGCAGCUCUAAGUGGGUGGUAAAUUCCAUCUAAGGCUAAAUAUUGGCGAGAGACCGAUAGCGAACAAGUACAGUGAUGGAAAGAUGAAAAGCACUUUGAAAAGAGAGUGAAACAGUACGUGAAAUUGUUGAAAGGGAAGGGCUUGCACCCAGACACGGUUUCGGCCGGGCCAGCAUCAAGUAGAACGGGGUUAAAAGACUUGGGGAAUGUAGCUACUUCGGUAGUGUUAUAGCCCUUGGUGAUGACCCCUGUUUUGCUUGAGGACAGCGGUCUCUAGGAUGCUGGCAUGCCUCGG
rnacentral:rRNA from 1 species